AGAGUUUGAUCAUGGCUCAGAUUGAACGCUGGCGGCAUGCCUAACACAUGCAAGUCGCGCGGAGUGUAGCAAUACACUUAGCGGCGGACGGGUGAGGAAUACAUAGGAAUUUGCCUUUAGGUGGGGGAUAGCCCAGGGAAACUUGGAGUAAUACCGCAUGAUGUCGUGAGACAAAAGCCGGGGACCGCAAGGCCUGGCGCCUUUAGAGAAGCCUAUGUCUGAUUAGCUAGUUGGUAGGGUAAUGGCCUACCAAGGCAACGAUCAGUAGCUGGUCUGAGAGGACGAUCAGCCACACCGGAACUGAGACACGGUCCGGACACCUACGGGUGGCAGCAGUGGGGAAUAUUGGACAAUGGGCGAAAGCCUGAUCCAGCAAUGCCGCGUGAGUGAUGAAGGCCUUAGGGUUGUAAAGCUCUUUUACCCGGGAUGAUAAUGACAGUACCGGGAGAAUAAGCCCCGGCUAACUCCGUGCCAGCAGCCGCGGUAAUACGGAGGGGGCUAGCGUUGUUCGGAAUUACUGGGCGUAAAGCGCGCGUAGGCGGCUUUGUAAGUCAGAGGUGAAAGCCUGGAGCUCAACUCCAGAACUGCCUUUGAGACUGCAUCGCUUGAAUCAUGGAGAGGUUAGUGGAAUUCCGAGUGUAGAGGUGAAAUUCGUAGAUAUUCGGAAGAACACCAGUGGCGAAGGCGACUAACUGGACAUGUAUUGACGCUGAGGUGCGAAAGCGUGGGGAGCAAACAGGAUUAGAUACCCUGGUAGUCC
rnacentral:rRNA from 1 species